rnacentral:rRNA from 1 species
AUUGAACGCUGGCGGCAGGCCUAACACAUGCAAGUCGAGCGGAGCGGCGGACGGGUGAGUAAUGCCUAGGAAUAUGCCUGGUAGUGAGGGAUAACGUCCGGAAACGGGCGCUAAUACCGCAUACUAUUAGAUGAGCCUAGGGCUGAUUAGCGAGUUGGUGGGGUAAAGGCCUACCAAGGCGACGAACCGUAACUGGUCUGCGGGGAGGAUCAGUCAAACUGGAACUGAGACACGGUCCAGACUCCUACGGGAGGCAGCAGUGGGGAAUAUUGGACAAUGGGGGAAAGCCUGAUCCAGCCAUGCCGCGGGUGUGAAGAAGGUCUUCGGAUUGUAAAGCACUUUAAGUUGGGAGGCGUUACCAACAGAAUAAGCACCGGCUAACUUCGUGCCAGCAGCCGCGGUAAUAC